rnacentral:rRNA from 1 species
UACGUAGGGGGCUAGCGUUGUCCGGAUUUAUUGGGCGUAAAGAGCGUGUAGGCGGCCAGAUAGGUCUGCUGUGAAAACUCGAGGCUCAACCUCGAGCUGUCGGCGGAAACCAUUUGGCUAGAGUCCGGAAGAGGAGAGUGGAAAUCCUGGUGUAGCGGUGAAAUGCGCAGAUUUCAGGAAGAACACCUAUGGCGAAGGCAGCUCUCUGGGACGGUACUGACGCUGAGACGCGAAAGCGUGGGGAGCGAACAGG